AUCUCUUCGAGACCCCAGGUCAGUCGAAUC
rnacentral:rRNA from 1 species